UGGCGGCGUGCUAAUACAUGCAAGUUGAGCGCUGAAGGUUGGUACUUGUACCGACUGGAUGAGCAGCGAACGGGUGAGUAACGCGUGGGGAAUCUGCCUUUGAGCGGGGGACAACAUUUGGAAACGAAUGCUAAUACCGCAUAAAAACUUUAAACACAAGUUUUAAGUUUGAAAGAUGCAAUUGCAUCACUCAAAGAUGAUCCCGCGUUGUAUUAGCUAGUUGGUGAGGUAAAGGCUCACCAAGGCGAUGAUACAUAGCCGACCUGAGAGGGUGAUCGGCCACAUUGGGACUGAGACACGGCCCAAACUCCUACGGGAGGCAGCAGUAGGGAAUCUUCGGCAAUGGACGAAAGUCUGACCGAGCAACGCCGCGUGAGUGAAGAAGGUUUUCGGAUCGUAAAACUCUGUUGGUAGAGAAGAACGUUGGUGAGAGUGGAAAGCUCAUCAUGUGACGGUAACUACCCAGAAGGGGACGGCUAACUACGUGCCAGCAGCCCAARAUAAUACA
rnacentral:rRNA from 1 species